GAAACAAUGUCACGUCCGCGUUCGAGAUCUCCCUUGUAUUCAAGAAUCCCAACUCUUCAUGGAAGGAGAGGCGAAGGGUUAUUCGAUAACCAGAUACAUUCAUCGGUACAGUCUGAUGCGUGGAGAAACCCUGAAUAUGGAAACAAAGCAGAAAAUAGCACACACUGGAACAAAGAUUCCUAUCAAGGAGAACAAAAAAAUGUCGACCACUGGGCCAGUUUUAUUGAUGCGAUAGAGCAUGCUCAAAAAAGAGGGGCUUCACCUAUGACCAGAUACAACAUGGAGGGAGAUGAAGAAAGGCCGCCCCAUUCUCCAAGGAGACUUCCUAGGGAAAGGCUGCCUUCCCCUGAUCACACACAUUUUGGUGGUGAAGAGCGUUACAAGAUGCCAACAUCAGGCUGGAACAGGAUUGAAGGUGUUGAUAAGGAGCUCAGUUCACAGCACAACCACAGAGAAUCGAGGGACAGGUCUCAUCCAAGACAUCCAGAAGGAAGAAAACACGACAGGAUGGAUUAUGGAUAUCAUAAUGAAGAAUAUGGCAAUCAAUAUCAAGAAAGAGGCUCCUUUGCAGAGAGGUCAUCAAAGUCAGAUUAUAGGGAGCAUCGCCCUCCUUCUGAAGGAAGGAUGGAAUUUGGUCGGAAAGAUGAGUUUGUUGAGCAUCACAGGGGCCUCAGCCCACGUCGUGCACCUGUCAUUGUUGAACACGAUCAUGGAAUCGCAAAACGAGAUUCAAGGAACCACGAUCCCCCGAAAAUGAGUGGGAAUCUUAGGAGCAGAGAUCCACCCAGGACAAGUGAAACCCAGAGGAAUCGAGAUCGAGAUAGAAGAGACCAAGGCUAUCAUUCGCAUAGUUUACAAGACAGACAUGGCGGGCGACCAAAUAGUAACCCCCGAGAGGAAUCAAGAAAGAACUACUCUUCUUAUGGAAGAGAAACUCAAGGAAGAGAGCGCUCAAGACACAUGGAUCAGUCUAGAAUGGAGACACAUCCAAGAGACUCAGAAGCACGGAGGGAAAUGGAUUUGAGGGAUGUGAGUGAUGUUGACUUGAGGAACACCGAUAGAGACUCUAUCCAUGAUUGGGAGGAAGAGAGAUCACAAAGGAAUCAUGGGAGGAUGAUGGGACAAGGGGUGGUUCGCCAAAGAGCUCAGUAUCACAGGAAGCCAAACACUGAUGUUGGUCCUGCGCCUAGAAUGGAUUUCGGUGAACAGGAGACCCUCAAGAUCAAGGUGGACAUGAGUCGCCCCGUCCGGCAAACCAGGUAUAGUAUCUUUGUCGUACCACUUUUGGUUAGGGUCAAAAGUUCAUGCCUCUUUUCUAUGUCCACUGUCCUCACACCAUGA
rnacentral:lncRNA from 1 species